CGUCUAGGCGGUCUAAUAAGUCUGAUGUGAAAAUAGCGGGGCGUCAACUCCGUAUUGCAUUGGAAACUGUUAGACUAGAGUUUUGGUAGAGGUAGGCGGAACUACAAGUGUAGAGGUGAAAUUCGUAGAGAUUUGUUAGGAAUGCCGAUGACGAAGGUAGCUUACUGGACAAAUACUGACGCUGAAGCGCGAAAGCUAGGGGAGCAAACAGGAUUAGAUACCCUGGUAG
rnacentral:rRNA from 1 species